GCGAGGCUGCGCGACCCGACAGGAGACUGCAUCCCCGGGCCCUUAUCGAUCCAAACGGGAGCUGUCCCUGGCCUUGCCUCUGGGCUCGGUCACUACGGCGCCCACCUACGUUGUAGGUGUCCCGGGAUCGAUUCUCCAUCGGUCGAGGCGGCCUCGCA
rnacentral:other from 2 species